rnacentral:rRNA from 1 species
UACAGGAGGGGGCAAGCGUUAUUCGGAAUUAUUGGGCGUAAAGGGCGCGUAGGCGGCCUGGCAAGUGGAAGGUGAAAUCCCUCGGCUUAACCGAGGAACUGCCUCCCAAACUGCUUGGCUCGAGACCGGGAGAGGUGAGUGGAAUUCCCAGUGUAGCGGUGAAAUGCGUACGAUAUCAGGAGGAACACCGAUGGCGAAGGCAGGUCUCUGGGCCGAUACUGACGCUGAGGAGCGAAAGCGUGGGGAGCGAACAGG